rnacentral:lncRNA from 1 species
AUUUAUGAGAAUUGUUCUCAAUAAUAUAUGAUUACUGAUGGAAGUACUUCAUGAUGAACACUGUCUCUUUGGACUAAUGGUAUGGUAGAUCUCUCUACCAGUACAAUUGAACUAACAGCCAGUCAGUUGCAAACAAAAGUUUGACAAUCAACCUGAAACAAGACCUUCAUUGGUCAAGUUUAUAAAAUCUUGUCAAGCUAUGGAUAUUGCACUGACACAGACCUAUAAAAAAGGUCUACAAUUCAAAACAAACACUGAUGAAGGAUGAAGUCAACCAAGACUAGAAUAAUUUUUUUGUGCUGGGGGACUGACUUACAACAGCAGUAUUUCACAUGAAAUCACAUCUCAGAUGAGACUGCAAGAUUGAGAUUUUUUUUCCUUCAAAAUCCAUUUAUGGAGAACUUAUUUAAAAGCUGUAAAGACCA